CCACUUUCCUCUGAAAGACCAUCAGAAUGGAGUCUUUCAGAGGCUUUGAAUCAGCUUGCGUCUAUGCUGCUGAUAAAAAGGUCUGCAUGACGGUGGAUACAGAAUGGGAUAUGGAAGAACAUCAGUUAUCAGACAGAGGCCUUGUCAAUGCACUUUUGGAUGCGAGUGAAGAAUGUUUAGCCAAAGACCAGGAUUCAGAUGUAUUUGAAAACCACACUGGCUGGGAAGAAGCUGUCCAGGGAUGGGGUAGGGGCCCCUCUCUCAUUAGCUUGUUCCAAAUGCAAAGGAGAGGUAAGAGACCGAAGACCUGGGAUGCAGACUCUCACUGCCUUCUUUGCAUUGACACAAAGAUAGCAGAACUCCAUGUAUCAGAAAAUGCAAGACAUGGUCCUGAAUUUAGCAGCGGCUCUGAAAAAAACACAAAGACCAUCCCAACCAAAGACUUAAAGACACGCCCAUGCAGCACAUGCUCUGCCAUUUCUUCCUACAAAAAUACAGUAGAACUCCUACCAAAACAAAAUUUCUUGGCAAACCCAAAAAAGGUCCCAAGCAUUAGUGGGCUGCUCAUCAACAGUACAGCUGCUACCUGCAUAGGCCUCUCGCACAACCAGGAGGAUGAGUGUCCAGUGCUGAAAGACAGGUGUGCUGGAAAUGUCACUCUCAUCAACUGCUUUGCUGUACUGCCUCCCCUCAAAGCUUCCUUGGAUAGAAAUGUGAGUAGCCCAGAUCACCUAAAAAGAGGAGAGCUUACCUUUGGAGCCGGCGUGCAGGACGUGGUUGAAAUUUUGCAGAGCGGUGCCUCAGCUACUGCCACUGCUGGGGGGAAUGGAGGUGUUGAUGGCAGAGGGGAAAUGAGAACAGACUCUCACGUGGACGCCAGGUCUGCUGAGGAUGGUUUACACAGCUCCAGUGCCUCCAAAUACUGGACAAAUCAGGACAGGCAUCGCCUGUUGACGGCUUUCAGCAUUCCCUUCACCAAGAGGUGCGACCAGGUCACUUACCGCCUGGGGAGGUACCCAAAACAGGAGGACCUGGCGAAAUCGCCUGCGAGGAAUAACAGCGGACAUAAACUCUACUUUGGUUACAGGGCCAAGAACAUCAGACGGGCAGAACCUGAACUGCCUCUACUGUUUGGAACCAGGGUUGCCAUCCCUGCCUCCACUCACCGUCUCUAAAGUGCUGAUUGUACUGCAUCUGUUGUUAUGGGUCAGUCACUUGAUUAAACAGAGGUUUGACUCUAGGUAAUGUCUUCAUAGAUGAUGUUCUAAGAAAAUGUUAACAGUAAACUAGCAUACAUUUACAAUUUAAUUAUUAGGUGAAUAUUGGCAUGCUUCUACACAAGUUACAAAGUUUUGGGAAACAGCAUACUCUAUUGAACAAGUUUCAUUCCCAAAAAUGAGUGGAUAUUGCUGAUGUAGGUGAAAUUGGUACCAGCCUCACAUGGGAGUAGCAGACUAUGUAGGUACCUUACCCUGUAAGCAGGCGCCGGGUAAAUGUGGGUGCAAUUGUGUGUAAAUUGUGAUACCAUCUUCGCGAGGGCCACCAAGACACACUGGUGCUGUCCGUGCAACAGCAACAAUAUGUUGGUAGUCUCACCCGAUUGGACAGGCAUCAACCAUUCAACACAAAGGCAGAUCAAUUAAGUUGAAGACCUAGGGGGCGCCACACAAAGUGUAGUGUCCUCCACAGUGGUCAAAAUAAUGAUAAUCCACGAAUCAGUCUGAUUAAAUGUAUCAGUCUCAUAAAAUAUAUUAAACUAUCAAUUUGGAACUCUGAUUAAUAACUACAACCAAAGUUACCUUAAUAAUAGCAAGGUUGAAGGUCAUUAGAAUUCUGAAUAGAAGAGGUUGGCAACGUCCAUUCUUGUGUAACAUUAAAUAGACCAGCGUAUAUAAUCAAAGUAUUUAUUUACACAAUGAUAAGAAAUAACACACAAUAUGUAAUCUAGCUAAAUGUAACUUACUAAUGAAUUAAAGGAGUGUGGGGAUGUGUAGGAGAGAGGGUGUGUGUGUGUGUGUUUGUGUGUGUGAGCUUUUGGGCUCGGGGUUGCGCUGUUAUGAGCGCGCCAGAAAGAAUGUGUUCCUUUAUUUUGAUCACCGCAGUUCCGCGUGCAUGUGUGUGCACGUACGCGAACAUACAUGUGAUGUGAACAAGGACGAGCCUAUAUGCAGCGCGAAGUUUGAGUAUUCCCUUCGCGUGUGUGGCUAUGUGAAGGCCAAUGUAUAUGUUAUCGUGUUUGGUUACGGUGCCAUGUUAGAAGACGGAAAUGGUUAGUGAUGCAUGUAAGACCCUGAGUGUCUGAUAAGCAAUCCUAACGAUAACCGUUAGAUGGUGUGGCGAAGCUAACUACCAACUAACCAUGAAAAUAUAUAACAGUUAGGUUCGUUAAACAAAACAGAUGAAAUACAUGAACAAUGGCGUAUGUAAACAGUCAUAUGCUUAGCCAGGUUGUGAAUAAGCUACGAGAGUUUACCCAGUUAAUGUGUCUGUUACCAGUCCUUUAGAACAGGAGUCGUGUUGGCGGAUCAGACGAUUAUGAGGCAAAGAGAUGAAGAUGUCCGUAGAUGGAGAAAGUUGUCCUUGCUGUGAUGUCGUCGAUGUUACACUGCAGUUUAGGUCGGAGGAUUCGAUCGCUCGUUCCGUUGCAGUUUCAGCGGAUUAUGUUGUCGUGCUUCGUUCCCGUUGCAGAGUUAGCUAGCAGGUCUAUUGUUAGCUGCUUUUCGCUAAACUUACUUCGUCUCAAUUAGCAGUUCGUUGACUAAUGAGAAGUCUUAAGUGUGUGCCUGGCAGCGUCAGCGGAGAGAGAGAGAAAUAAAAAGAUGCAACUGGUGGUCUUGUAGUAGAGU
rnacentral:lncRNA from 1 species